rnacentral:lncRNA from 1 species
CAUGAUGAUAAUGUUAAGAACUUCUUAGUUUCAAAAUUGAAAAUUGAAAGCUCCAUUUCAUUUGUUGUGACACAUUCUUUUAGUUUCCUACUUUACAAUCUAUUUUGAGCUAUCAUUUACAAAACACUAUGCCAUGACUCAACAAACAAGAAGCUGCUGAUUUUCACUUUCUUGGUGCAAAGAAUAAGCUGAACAGAAACAUGAAGGAAUUGAGAGGAGCAAUGCUUUGUGAAGAUCUCCAGCGGCCACACCUUUCUUGAUUAGUGAAAUGAUGUAAUCCAUGAACGCUGAAUCACAGGGUAAUUUAAUAGGGCCUCCACUCGGUAUCCCAAACUCCUCUUCAGACAUGUUGAAGAGUUGCCUAACGACCUCAUUUUCAAGGUAUGUCAAGGGAAUGAGAAAUCGCCUUUGAUCAAUUGUAUAGAGUACAAAAUGACCCUUUUCAACUAUAUAGGAUGAAGAUGUACUACAACUGUCUGAAUCACUACCAUUUCUUGGAAAUGAAAUCCUCUUAAAGCUGCAUGGCUGCAAACUUCUGCCAUCUCCUAGCCAUUUUGAUGAGUUUCUUGGCACUGAUCAUUGUCUUUUUUUGUUUUUUGUUUUUUGGGAAGAUUGAAACAAGAAAGUAAACAAGAAAUUUAGAGACUUUUUGAGGGUUGAAUUGUUAAUGCUUGUCCUGAAUUGGUAAUGAAAAGGUUCAUGAAAGGGGGAUUAUUUAUACAAGAAACUGGAGACGACUAAUCUUUAGUUGGAGCUGAAGUUUUUGUUACUAACAAAAGGCAAAGCCAUGUGCUGAUGCAUGUUGGUCAUGUUGAUAUGGGGCCUUAAAUUUGUGGAUGAAGCUAGUUUGAAAGGAUGGAAAAUAAUACUAAAGUUUCUUCAUUUCUUCACUUUGGUUGACAACAGAUUGGGCCUAUUAGGUAUGAUAUCAGCUCAUACUUAAAUAAUUUGAAGCCAUUAAAUGAAGAAUAGCUUUUAGAAGGCAAAACCAUGUGCUACUCCUUUCUUUGUCAUGUCGAUAAGGGAUCUUUAAAUUGUCAUCUUGUCUUGUCCUAUUCUGCUUUAGUUAUAACAAAAUUUUUGGGCUUGAGUAAUACUGUUGACAGAUUUUACUCAAAAGAUACAUUAACAAUAAGAAAACUGAACCAUUUUUUGGUUAAUAGUAUCAAAACAAACUAAGCGAUUCAGCAACCAAAGAAAUUGGUCGUUGCAGUCAAUUCAGAAGUCUUUUUUCUUUGCUUUUUUUCUUUCUUCUUUUUGGUGGAAGACUGUACAUGGUAGAAGGACGAAAAGAUCAUUUUUCACAAAAUAGUGUAGGUUAUGUGUGAGAAAAUGAAGGAUAUUGAUAAAUAAAAAGAUCAUUUAUCACAGUUUUCGUCGAGAAACAAAAACUGUGAUAUUAACCAGUGCAAAAUACAGCUUAAAGUCUUCUAUUUGAACUAUUAUGCUUCUAUUGGGUUAAUGCAGCUUUUGACAUAAUUUUCUUAUGAAUUAGGACUAGAAAUUUGGAUAUUCUACAUAUUUAGAACCCUAUUUUGGUAAUUUUUGCAGGAUCUCGAGGCUAUUUUGUGCUUACUGAUUGGUCUGUGAAUACUUUUGAGGCCAAUCAAAAAUUGACAACAUAAAAUAUGAUCACACUUCUAUGUUAUCCAUUGAAUUCACAGGACCCCUAGAAAGCAACUGAAAGAAAUCGGAUAUAAUCACAAAGUUAAAGAGUGUUGACAAGAAUAUGGAGUUUCGAUGAAUAAUAAGAUGUUGAAUAUUCUGUACACUUGUUGAAUAUCAUGUAUUCAUUACAAAACAUUAAGGUCAACAAACUAGUAAUUCUGUGUUUCUUAGCUCAUGAAGGUAUAAAGCUGAUGAGCAUCGACUGGAAGCUACUGAUACAAGCAACGCAUUCUGAAGAUCUACAGCUACACCUCUUUCGAUGAGUGAUAUGACGUAGUUCAUGAAUAUGGAAUCACACGGUAAUGUAAUAGGUCCAUCACUCGGAAGUCCAAACUCUUCUUCAGACAUGUGCAAUAGUUGUCCGAUUAUCUCAUGUUGUAGAUAAGCCAAAGGAACCACAAAUCGCUUUUGAUCAGUUGUAUACACCACAAAAUGCCCUUUGCCAACUAUAGAAUAAGAUGUACUACAACACUCUGCGUCAUGGUUAUUGGAUCUUGGAAAUGAAAUUCUCUUCCUUUGGUUGACCGCAAACUUCUGCCAUUUCCUUGCUAUCUUGAUGAUUUUGUUAGCACUGAUCAUGUUUAUUUCUUCGGUUUAUAGGAAAGAAAAUAUUGUUUGAGUUUUUAGAAGGUUUGAUUGAGUUCUAUCUGCUUGAUGAUCAAAAUGUUUUAUGGAAGCAAUUUAUUUAUAGCUGAGGCUAGAGUUAUGACUUUGAAAAUUGUAGCUCUAGUUGUCAACCUGAGUCAGGUAUUGAAGGCAAAAUCAUGUGCUGAUGUUUAAUAUGGGACCUUAGAAAUUGUGGGAAUGGCUGGUUGUCAUGUUUUAAGUAAAGAGGUUGAUGCAUUUAUUGAAUUAUUUGUCACUAUAUCUUUAAACCAAGUGGUCCAAGACUAGGUCAUCAACUUCAUCCAUUCUUCUGGAUUUUAUAAGAAACAGUAGGGC